GUAAGAAAAUAAAACAUUUAAUUUGAAUCAGUACUGCCAUGCUUGAGUGUGCAAACUUCACUUCAAUCUUUGAGCAGGAGUGUGAUGGGUUUGUUAGUGUUUAUAAUCUUAGUGAGAAAAUCAUUUGAAGUGACAGGUUGCAAAAGUCAGCCAAGAAAUCGUCAGAUAUCAUCAAAGCCCUCGUCUCAGCAUCUUCUCCUCAAAGUGAGCAAGGUAAGAGUUGUACAGAAGGAACUGCAGAUGCUGG